rnacentral:rRNA from 1 species
AGUGAACGCUGGCGGUAGGCCUAACACAUGCAAGUCGAACGGCAGCACAGUAAAAGCUUGCUCUUACGGGUGGCGAGUGGCGGACGGGUGAGGAAUACAUCGGAAUCUACUUUUUCGUGGGGGAUCACGUAGGGAAACUUACGCUAAUACCGCAUACGACCUACGGGUGAAAGCAGGGGAUCUUCGGACCUUGCGCGAUUGAAUGAGCCGAUGUCGGAUUAGCUAGUUGGCUGGGUAAAGGCCCACCAAGGCGACGAUCCGUAGCUGGUCUGAGAGGAUGAUCAGCCACACUGGAACUGAGACACGGUCCAGACUCCUACGGGAGGCAGCAGUGGGGAAUAUUGGACAAUGGGCGCAAGCCUGAUCCAGCCAUACCGCGUGGGUGAAGAAGGCCUUCGGGUUGUAAAGCCCUUUUGUUGGGAAAGAAAAGCAGCAGGUUAAUACCCCGCUGUUCUGACGGUACCCAAAGAAUAAGCACCGGCUAACUUCGUG